AUCCUGCAGCUGGAACAUCUGUUGACUGGGUCUCUUAUGCAAUGAAUGUUACUUAUGCAUACAUAAUUGAACUGAGAGACACCGGCCGGUAUCGCUUUACACUACCUGCAUCUCAGAUAUUGCCUACUGUACGAGAUGCCUGGGAGGCUGUAAGUCGUUUGGCUACACUGAUCUGAAUGAAGUAACAGAAAGAGCCAACAAACGAAAGUUCCUCCAAUGAAACUGAGAGACAAGGAGCUAUGGUUUUCAACGCAGUUUAUAAAGUGAAGUCUUAGAAAUAUUGCUAAUGUCAUUAAAAUGUUCAUUAUUAAUAAAAUUUUGUAUUAGUGAUUAAAUAAUUUUUAAAGCAUUA